UAGAAAAGUAAAAAGAACUAAAAAAAAAAAAUAAAGAACUUUAACAAUACUUAUUCUAAAAAUUACUUCAUCUCUUUAAAAUUCCUAAACCUAGACAAGCUCGUCGUUGCCCCAAAUUCAGCUACAAAAUAAUUGCUACCCGUUCAAUUAAGCUUAAUCUUCAAAGAAUGGCUCGCCACUCUCCCAAAUUCAUCUCUCAGCCUUAGAUAUCCCACGAGAAAAAUCUUUCACCCAAAUAAUUAUUUCCCGUAAAUGGGUUUCUUCUUUAUGCAAUCUGAAAGAAGUUCUUCUUCUCCAUAUCUUAGGUUUUUAGUUUUCUCUUUAGGGUUGCUAUAUUAUGUCAUUUUCCAUCAACCAUCUCAGUAAAAUUUACUACAACAGGGUUGCUAAAAACUUGCAAAGUUAUGGUGUCUUCGAUCUUUUGCGAUGUACUGAGUGAACAAGAGAUGAAUCAUAUCCCAUUUUACUCUCGAAAGAGGUUAAAAUCUUUAGAUUCCAUUCAUGGAAUCUAUUAAGGAUGCAAAUCGCUGAUGUAGCAUCUACAAUAGAGUUAACUAUCGGGAGAAAUUGGGUUUUGGCUAAUGUGCUUUCAGCUCCAAUAUAGUUAUGCUCCAUUAAGGACUAAUGAGGAGGUGUUACAAGAUCUUUUUUGGCCUUCUGGUGGUGUUGAGUUUGUGUACUGUAUAGGAGGUCAGUAUGAUAUUGGUGUUGGGGAAGGCAAGGAGUAAAUCAAUAUUAGGCUUGGACAGUUUCUAGCUUGUCUCACCAUGAGAGUCAUGAGGUAUUCUAUAAUCCUAUGGUUUGCAAUUUUAUUACUCAGUAGUGAUUGUGUUAGUACUCUAAGGCUGCUGAUGGUAAAAAUUUCUCCUUCUAUGCUGAAAUUUAUAAAGACUAUUUGGAAAACAAUUAAAUUUUUAGAAAACCAAUCUGCCCUGUAUAGCAUUAGGUUUUGUUAUCAUAUGAUAGAAGUUUGAGAUGUCUGCAAAGUCAGUUUUCGGGACAAGAUGUUGGAGGUUGGGUGUACCUCGUCAGCUAUUGUUUUAUGCUAACAUCAUCUUUGAUUAUUGCUGCUUGUAGGUGUAAAUUGGCUUCUUUCAAAAAUAAUACUUAAGUAGUAGUAUAGUGGAGAAGUCUUCUUGAGCCUCUCUUUACUCAAAAAAAUCAAUGUGAUAGCCUUAGGACCUCUAUGUGCAUUGGAAGAUCCGACUGAUACAUAGGCAUCUUACUUUGAUUUCAUUAUUUAAAGUUAGGCAUACAGUAUUAGAAGAUAAGUCUUUUCCUGCUGUGAAGUAAGGUAUUUACAUCUAGAACUUCCUUAAUAAUUUUUUUUGAUAACCACGUUCAGAACUUACUCCUCAAAUAAGGAGGUGAAGUUCUUAUCUUUAAUUUGCAAUAAGUAAACUUAUGUGAUAUUUAGUUUGGUUGAUAGGGCAUGCUUUAAUCCUCUUUACAGAUGAUAAUGCAUGAUUCUCUAUAUUUUGGUCUACUUUUGAUGAAGCAGUAUCUUGAAUCUUUUGGUAUUUUCAAUGGAGUAAGAGGUACAGUUGAAGCUCUAAAAUGCUUUAUUCAGCUCUAAAAUGCUUUGCACCACACAACUGAUUGACUUAUUCAACUUUAUUUCAGGGAGACAGUGGCAAGUAUUCUCUAGAUUGUGUAUUACAUGGUUCAACUUU